UACGUAGGGUGCGAGCGUUAAUCGGAAUUACUGGGCGUAAAGCGUGCGCAGGCGGCUUUGCAAGACAGAUGUGAAAUCCCCGGGCUCAACCUGGGAACUGCAUUUGUGACUGCAAGGCUAGAGUACGGCAGAGGGGGAUGGAAUUCCGCGUGUAGCAGUGAAAUGCGUAGAUAUGCGGAGGAACACUAAUGGCGAAGGCAAUCCCCUGGGCCUGUACUGACGCUCAUGCACGAAAGCGUGGGGAGCAAACAGG
rnacentral:rRNA from 1 species